GUCUCAAAAUAAACAUUAAAAAUAAACAUGUCAAAAAAUGACAUUUUCUAAAGGAAGGUAUCCUAAAAUGGGUUUAUUUUACUUCAGUUGGUUUAGCCUCUAUGAUCCUCUUUCCUGGAGCCCUUGGCAAACCCUCAAUCUCAGGUCAUGGUGGAGGAAGAGACAGGAACCUGGGCAGGGUCCUAAGUCCUACUGAUUAGGAACAGAUCUGGGGAUCAGAAAAGGUCCUCUGCCCACGGGCCCUACUGCUUUGGGGGCAUCCCCACAUGUCUGCACGUGCCUUGCCUUUUCCGUGUCUGGGUCUCAGGAUCACCACAACCAAAAACAUUCCUGUCUCAAUCUCAGUGGGCGUCAGCCUAUAGGGUCUUCAGCCUAUCGAGUAGGUAGGAGCCACCCCUGCCCUCUGGGACGCCACUUAACUCUGCUAUCCUAUUCUCACCCUGCACACAUCAGAAGAAUUUUCACUUGAACUUGGAGAUCCCUUGGCCCCUCCCUCCAAACACCCUAACGACCGAUCCCUCUUCCAUUGUGCGCUGCACCCUGAAGGCCGGCAGGGGGCGCGCCGACCCGCCGCCUUGGGCCAGCGUGGAACGCAUGCGCGUGGCGCCCCUUGCCCUCGACGCUGCGUCCGCACGAGAGCUCAGAGACGCGUUCCCUCUGGGGCGACGGAGGAGGCGACGCCGCGGAGGACGAGAGCCCCGUUAUCUGCCCUUUGUCUGCUUAGUUACUGGACUGUCCCUUGGUGAGAAUACGCAGGAAGAGAGGAGCGACUGAGUUCUAGACCAUGCAACCACAGGUGAGUAGGACUUACUCUUCCUUCUCAUG
rnacentral:lncRNA from 1 species